CAGUCGCCGCGGUAAGACAGAAGAUGCAAGCGUUAUCCGGAAUGAUUGGGCGUAAAGCGUCUGUAGGUGGCUUUUCAAGUCCGCCGUCAAAUCCCAGGGCUCAAACCUGGAUAGGCGAUGGAAACUACCAAACUGGAGUACGGUAGGGGCAGAGGGAAUUCCCGGUGGAGCGGUGAAAUGCAUUGAGAUUGGAAAGAACACCAACGGUGAAAGCACUCUGCUGGGCCGACACUGACACUGAGAGACGAAAGCUAGGGGAGCAAAUGGGAUUAGAUACCCCGGUAGUCCCUGUCUCUUAUAC
rnacentral:rRNA from 1 species